AUUGAACGCUGGCGGCAGGCCUAACACAUGCAAGUCGGACGGUAGCACAGAGGAGCUUGCUCCUUGGGUGACGAGUGGCGGACGGGUGAGUAAUGUCUGGGGAUCUGCCCGAUAGAGGGGGAUAACCACUGGAAACGGUGGCUAAUACCGCAUAACGUCGCAAGACCCAAGAGGGGGACCUUCGGGCCUCUCACUAUCGGAUGAACCCAGAUGGGAUUAGCUAGUAGGCGGGGUAAUGGCCCACCGAGGCGACGAGCCCUAGCUGGUCUGAGAGGAUGACCAGACACACUGGAACUGAGACAAGGUCCAGACUCCUACGGGAGGCAGCAGUGGGGAAUAUUGCACAAUGGGCGCAAGCCUGAUGCAGCCAUGCCGCGUGUAUGAAGAAGGCCUUCGGGUUGUAAAGUACUUUCAGCGGGGAGGAAGGCGGUGAGGUUAAUAACCUCGCCGAUUGACGUUACCCGCAGAAGAAGCACCGGCUAACUCCGUGCCAGCCGCCGCCGUAA
rnacentral:rRNA from 1 species